rnacentral:lncRNA from 1 species
AUAAAUCCCAAAUCCUUAACCCCCACCCAAAUCGUAAACCCUAGUUCUCUUCUUUCUUCACAAUCUUCUCUAUCGCAAACCCUGAUUCUUCUGGUCGAUCAGCUAUUUCUUCCCUCGUUGGGUUUCCAAAAUCGUUCCAGAGGUUAGUUUUUUCGAAAGUCUAUCAGUUGUUCUUGUCUAUAGGUUCCGAGGUUUGUAUAUUGAAAUUAGACUAUGGGUUAAUUUUGUUGUGUUAUGAAAUUUGGCUAUGUUCUGAAAUCAGUUCUAGAGAUUUCAUUCGGUUCUAAUGGUUUGGGUGGAAGGUUUAUAUAUGUAUGAUGGUUGGUGUUACGAAUCAUUCAAUAUUUUUCAGAAUCGUCCACGGUCUAUUUUUCUUCUUUUUCUUAUUGUGUUGUAUUCAAUUAAAUAAAUCUUUUAUCAUGUUUCAUGUUCGAUCUCUGUUCUUGUAUUUGUUUAAGUUCCGUAUUUUCUAUCUGUGGAGUUUAGUCAAAGUGAGCAGCACAUGGUGUGUGUUCUCACUUAUCAAUAUCCGAAUCCUGAGUUCUGACCAGCUGUAAAUUGACUUUCUUCAAUCCAAAAAAUAAGUGUACAAAACACAUGGAUCUAUUUUUUGUAGGGUAUAAAGAAGCUACUUUUUACUCUUAAACUAAUCUUUGAGUUUAAAGAGUAAAAAAAAUCUUAUUCCCUACCCGAUCUUUAUCAAUCUUUAAUAUUCAUUGAAGCAGAUAGAUGGUUCUUAGUUUCUGAAUGGAAUGGAGAUAGAGGCGUUAGCCGGCGGAUUGGAUAAAUAGAUAGGAGAUAAUGGAUGGUUUAGUAGGUAGUUCAUCUUUAUUUGCAUAAAAAGUGAAUCAUUUCAUAAAAGGGAUGAUUACAUUGAUCUAAAUAACCAAAAGUAAAAGUGCUAUAAUGUUUUGAAGAAAUUAAGUGCGAAAUUAUACAAUUUACCAAUUAACUAACUUGCUCAGUUAUCUUCAUAUUUCUGAAAAGCUUUUAAUAGGAAUUUAAUAGGAAAAAUGUUUGGAUUAUGUUGAUUAAAUCUGUUUUUUAGAUUAAAUUUUACAGAUUUUAUAUUUUCCUUAUUUUCACAUCUUAUGUCUAUUUGCUUAUGUUAGGGUAUCAUGAAGCACGAAAUCUGCUAUCAGGGGACUCGCGAGGUUGCAAGGAGGGCCGGAGGCUCUGAAGUCCACGACGCGUGCUUUACGUCAAAUCCUACGUCGUAGUCACCUUAAUCCAACAUACUCUAAGUGUCAGUCUCCACUAGAGUUAAUUCACAAUGAUGUUUGGGGACAUGCUUCCGUUUAUUCUUAUAAUGAUCAUCGCUAUUUUGUUUUCUUCAUUGAUGAUUUUUCAAGGUUUAUCUAGUUCUUUCCUAUGAAAUGUAAGUCUGAAGUAGUGGAAAUUUUUCGAAACUUUCACAUCAUGGUUGAGAAACAAAUAGGGAACAAAAUCAAAUUCUUCC